GCACGGAUGGCCGAGUGGUCUAAGGCGCCAGACUCAAGCGGUGCUUCGCGCGAGCAAGUGCGGUGGGCGUUCUGGUAUCCGCAUGGAUGCGUGGGUUCGAAUCCCACUUCGUGCA
rfam:Ascaris lumbricoides genome assembly, scaffold: ALTE_contig0005437